UACGGAGGGUGCGAGCGUUGUCCGGAAUCACUGGGCGUAAAGGGCGCGUAGGCGGCUCAUGAAGGCUGUGGUGAAAGUCCGGGGCUCAACCUCGGAUCGGCCGUGGCGACUCGUGGGCUGGAGCACUGUAGAGGCGGGCGGAAUUCCGGGUGUAGCGGUGGAAUGCGUAGAGAUCCGGAAGAACACCGAAGGCGAAGGCAGUGUCCUGGCGCGUAACUGACGCUGAGGUGCGAAAGCCAGGGGAGCGAACGGG
rnacentral:rRNA from 1 species